rnacentral:rRNA from 1 species
AUUGAACGCUGGCGGCAGGCCUAACACAUGCAAGUCGAACGAGUGGCCGACGGGUGAGUAAUGUCUGCGCAAAUGCCCGAUGGAGGGGGAUUACUACUGGAAACGGUAGCUAAUCACGCCUACCCUCAGAUGCUCCCAGAUGGGAUUCGCUAGUAUGUUGGGUAACGGCUCACCUUGGCGACGAUCCCUAGCUGGUCUGAGAGGAUGACCAGCCACACUGGAACGGAGACACGGUCCAGACUCCGACGGUAGGCAGCAGUGGGGAAUAUGGAACAGGGGGCGCAAGCCUGAUGUAGCCAUGCCGAGUGGAGGAAGAAGGCCUUCGGGUUGUAAAGUAAUGUCAGCGAGGAGGCGUUACUCGAAGAAGAAGCACCGGCUAAAUACGUGCCAGCAGCCGCGGUAAGAG